rnacentral:tRNA from 1 species
GCCGCUAUAGCUCAAUUGGCAGAGCCGCCGUCUUGUAAUCGGCAGGUUGUAGGUUCAAAUCCUACUGGCGGCA